rnacentral:rRNA from 1 species
AUUGAACGCUGGCGGCAUGCCUAACACAUGCAAGUCGAACGGCAGCACAGCAGUAGCAAUACUGUGGGUGGCGAGUGGCGGACGGGUGAGGAAUACGUCGGAAUCUGCCCAGUCGUGGGGGGAUAACUAGCCGAAAGGUUAGCUAAUACCGCAUACGACCGAGAGGUGAAAGCGGGGGACCGCAAGGCCUCGCGCGAUUGGAUGAGCCGACGUCGGAUUAGCUAGUUGGCGGGGUAAAGGCCCACCAAGGCGACGAUCCGUAGCUGGUCUGAGAGGAUGAUCAGCCACACUGGAACUGAGACACGGGUCCAGACUCCUACGGGAGGCAGCAGUGGGGAAUAUUGGACAAUGGGCGCAAGCCUGAUCCAGCAAUGCCGCGUGUGUGAAGAAGGCCUCGGUUGUAA